rnacentral:rRNA from 1 species
UGCGUAGGUGGCGCCAUAAGUCAGGUGUGAAAUCUCGGGGCUUAACUCCGAAACUGCAUUUGAUACUGUGGUGCUUGAGGACUGGAGAGGAGACUGGAAUUCACGGUGUAGCAGUGAAAUGCGUAGAUAUCGUGAGGAAGACCAGUGGCGAAGGCGGGUCUCUGGACAGUUCCUGACACUGAGGCACAAGGGCCAGGGGAGGCAAACG